CUCAACUUCAGGUUUAAUUCACAAUAAUUUACAUUUCACAAUAGGGAUUAACAGUGGUUCUAUUAACACUGCCACCUACAGGUCUGUCAAGUACAUUGACAAUUUUCAUGGGGUUUUACAAAACACCAAAACACUGACCCCUAUAGGUCAACAGACCAACAACAUUUCACAUACCAAUCAGUAUCAACUACACUGCCACCUACAGGGCACUCGGCAGAUCUCCAGUGCACUUGUAUUUUGCAACACCAUGUUCACUCACCAUUCAAUAAGGCAUACAACAAUUCACAUAGCAAGCAGUAUAUCAACAUCUGUUAUAAAUACACAUAUUAUUACACAGUUGCACACGCAUCUGUAUAUACGUAACUGGUAAUAUGGUUCACAUACAUACGGCACUUAAUGGGUUAAGA